GUGGGGAAUUUUGGACAAUGGGCGCAAGCCUGAUCCAGCAAUGCCGCGUGCAGGAAGAAGGCCUUCGGGUUGUAAACUGCUUUUGUACGGAACGAAAUGGUCCUGGUUAAUACCCGGGGCUAAUGACGGUACCGUAAGAAUAAGCACCGGCUAACUACGUGCCAGCAGCCGCGGUAAUACGUAGGGUGCAAGCGUUAAUCGGAAUUACUGGGCGUAAAGCGUGCGCAGGCGGUGCUGUAAGACAGGCGUGAAAUCCCCGGGCUUAACCUGGGAAUUGCGCUUGUGACUGCAGUGCUGGAGUGCGGCAGAGGGGGAUGGAAUUCCGCGUGUAGCAGUGAAAUGCGUAGAUAUGCGGAGGAACACCGAUGGCGAAGGCAAUCCCCUGGGCCUGCACUGACGCUCAUGCACGAAAGCGUGGGGAGCAAACAGGAUUAGAUACCCGUGUAGUCC
rnacentral:rRNA from 1 species